ensembl:lncRNA
GCAUGGGAGAUUCAGAUGGGAUAUGUCAUCUCUCGCUCUGCAGAGAGCUCUACGGGCCCCAGGAGCACUUGGAACGGGGCCCAGAGUCCGCCUCCAACAUCACUGGUUCAUUCCACCUCCAACUUUGACCCCUGUGGUGACUGUGAAAAAUGAGUACAUCGAGCAGAUGAAAUGAUUAAACCAGAGCCAGUGGGAGAUUGUCAUCAGACCAGAGUUGCCAUGACGAC